ensembl:lncRNA
GUUCUUUGUUUUAUUUCAGCCGAUACGGCGAGAGAGUUGGAGUGUUUGGGCGAGUACAGAGGAAAGAAGGCAGAGGAUAUUGUUGGCUGGGCAAAGACGGAGACAAGGGUUUGGCAGAAACAGACACCGGGCUGAGUAUAUUGGAAUGUCUACUUAACUGUGAAAUGCUCCAUGGACAUGUGUAACAAAUUCUGAGUGGUUGAAAACAGGAAGACUCACCGGAAGUAUCGCCGAAGGAGGCCUUUUCGACAGGGCACGUGGCAGCAGGAGAAGUAUCCAGGAGCUGGAAAGAAGAGGGAAAAGAGACCUCGUGUAGUAACGGUGUGAGUACCCUAAACCAUCGUACAGCAGUAUAAUCAUCUAGAGUGAACCAUCUGUGAGCGUUUUGUGAGUUUGUGGCAUAGUAUGUGAGCGGCCCCACCGUGGAGGAGGAUUGUGGGUGAGCCCGGACCAGUGAGCGAGAGAGGAUGUUGGGCUGUUGUGGCGGCAACGUUUAAAUCUGAAUAUUCGUGGCCUCAGUGUCUUCACGACUUCCAGGAAGAGUCUUUGGUCAGACGGGGUGUUGACCCUAAAUUUACCAGAGUGUGUGGAGUGCAGUGGGUGAGUCUUUGUCCUUUGCUGUGAGUGUAUACACUUGAAAAUUGCAGUGUUGUGCUGUGUUGUGUCGUCAACAACCACCUUUCAGGCCCGACGAAAUCCUGUGAAGGAAGUGAAUACCGAGGCGGGCGAAGAAAACAUCUCCAAUUAUAUGCCGUCGAUGACAUCCUGACCCUUCUUCCCCACGUGACGGUGGUGGGAAACAAUUUCAAAUCUCUUGACUUGUCGGUUGGUAGAAAGAAGAGGGAAGCGUUCGACCCAUCCAGUGUAGUACACCCCGGGUGAGACAACUUACCUGUGUGUGACGCCAGCGGAGGCCGUGUUCGGCCCAACGCAACAGUUUUCGAUCCGCCUCUCUAUCAGCAGUUGGUAGAAGCCUCAGAAAAGGAACGUCUGACGUCUAUUCCCUCGAAGAUCUAGCGGGUCCCUUUGAAGCGUCUACCUGCAUGUCGACUCGUCACUCAGGAUACAGAGACCGUGGAAACCCCCUCCCGUACACUUACCAGUACGGUUUUAGUUGGAUCCCGGCAGCCCUUGGGCAGUUCCCCCAGCAUCUGGACGACCGGGAGUAUAAUCCGCUGGGUCGCCUCGGAGUUCGUCAAAAGUAGCAGC